CAGCCGCCACGGGAAUACGUAGGUUGCAAGCGUUGUCCGGAAUUAUUGGGCGUAAAGGGCUCGCAGGCGGUUUCUUAAGUCUGAUGUGAAAGCCCCCGGCUCAACCGGGGAGGGUCAUUGGAAACUGGGAAACUUGAGUGCAGAAGAGGAGAGUGGAAUUCCACGUGUAGCGGUGAAAUGCGUAGAGAUGUGGAGGAACACCAGUGGCGAAGGCGACUCUCUGGUCUGUAACUGACGCUGAGGAGCGAAAGCGUGGGGAGCGAACAGGAUUAGAUACCCCUGUAGUCCCUGUCUCUUAUAC
rnacentral:rRNA from 1 species